UGCGUAGGUGGUUUCUUAAGUCAGAGGUGAAAGGCUACUGCUCAACCGUAGUAAGCCUUUGAAACUGGGAAACUUGAGUGCAGGAGAGGAGAGUGGAAUUCCUAGUGUAGCGGUGAAAUGCGUAGAUAUUAGGAGGAACACCAGUUGCGAAGGCGGCUCUCUGGACUGUAACUGACACUGAGGCACGAAAGCGUGGGGAGCAAACA
rnacentral:rRNA from 1 species